rnacentral:rRNA from 1 species
UAGGGAAUCUUCCGCAAUGGGCGAAAGCUUGACGGAGCAACGCCGCGUGAGUGAUGAAGGUCUUCGGAUCGUAAAACUCUGUUAUUAGGGAAGAACAAAUGUGUAAGUAACUAUGCACGUCUUGACGGUACCUAAUCAGAAAGCCACGGCUAACUCCGUGCCAGCAGCCGCGGUAAUACGUAGGUGGCAAGCGUUAUCCGGAAUUAUUGGGCGUAAAGCGCGCGCGGGCGGUUUUUUAAGUCUGAUGUGAAAGCCCACGGCUCACCCGUGGAGGGUCAUUGGAAGCUGGAAAACUUGAGUGCAGAAGAGGAAAGUGGAAAUCAAUGUGUAGCGGUGAAAUGCGCAGAGAUAUGGAGGAACACCAGUGGCGAAGGCGACAGUCUGAUCAGUAACUGACGCUAAUGUGCGAAAGCGUGGGGAUCAAACAGG